AACGAACGCUGGCGGCGUGUCUUAAGCAUGCAAGUCGAGCGGCAAGCAGUAGCAAUACUGCCUAGAGCGGCGGACUGGUGAGUAACGCGUGGGUGAUCUGCCCUUGGGAUGGGGAUAGCCGUUAGAAAUAGCGGGUAAUACCGAAUACGUUCGUCGGACUACGGUCCGAUGAAGAAAGGCGCUUUGGCGCCACCCGAGGAUGAGCCUGCGUCUCAUUAGCUAGUUGGUGGGGUAAAAGCCUACCAAGGCGAUGAUGAGUAGCCGGCCUGAGAGGGUGUACGGCCACACUGGGACUGAGAUACGGCCCAGACUCCUACGGGAGGCAGCAGCUAAGAAUAUUCCGCAAUGGACGAAAGUCUGACGGAGCGACGCCGCGUGGAUGAUGAAGGCCGUGAGGUUGUAAAUCCUUUUGCUGGGGAAGAAUAACCAUGGGAGGAAUGCCCGUGGGAUGACAUGAACCGGCGAAUAAGCCCCGGCUAACUACGUGCCAGC
rnacentral:rRNA from 1 species